rnacentral:misc_RNA from 1 species
GAUGAAGAACGUAGCGAAAUGCGAUAAGUAAUGUGAAUUGCAGAAUUCAGUGAAUCAUCGAAUCUUUGAACGCACAUUGCGCCCGCCAGUAUUCUGGCGGGCAUGCCUGUUCGAGCGUCAUUACAACCCUCAGGCCCCCGGGCCUGGCGUUGGGGAUCGGCGGAAGCCCCCUGCGGGCACAACGCCGUCCCCCAAAUACAGUGGCGGUCCCGCCGCAGCUUCCAUUGCGUAGUAGCUAACACCUCGCAACUGGAGAGCGGCGCGGCCACGCCGUAAAACACCCAACUUCUGAAUGUUGACCUCGAAUCAGGUAGGAAUACCCGCUGAACUUAAGCAUAUCAAUAAGCGGAGGA